rnacentral:rRNA from 1 species
CCGUCAAUUCCUUUAAGUUUUCUUUCAUGACUACGCACCCAGCACCUUAUUAAUGGAUUGCAGAACCCGCUCUUCUUGGAAAGGUUUAACGAUAAAAUCUUUCGCACCUGCUUGAAUCGCCUUAAGCACCAUCAUU